AGGAUGAACGCUGGUGGCGUGCCUAAAACAUGCAAGUCAUACGGACUACCUUCGGGUAGUCAGUGGCAAACGGGUGAGUAACACGUGGGAACACGCCUUCGAGUGGGGAAUAACGCUGAGAAAUCAGUGCUAAUACCGCAUAUGGUCGAGAGACUAAAGCAGCAAUGCGCUCGGAGAGUGGCCCGCGGUCGAUUAGCUAGUUGGUGGGGUAAUGGCCUACCAAGGCGGCGAUCGAUAGCUGGUCUGAGAGGAUGGUCAGCCACACUGGGACUGCGAACGGCCCAGACUCCUACGGGAGGCAGCAGUUAGGAAUUUUCGUCAAUGGACGCAAGUCUGAACGAGCGACGCCGCGUGAAGGAUGAAGCCUCUCGGGGUGUAAACUUCUUUUUUACGGGAAGAUAAUGACGGUACCGUAAGAAUAAGCACCGGCUAACUACGUGCCAGCAGCCGC
rnacentral:rRNA from 1 species